rnacentral:rRNA from 1 species
UGGCCUACGGGGGGCAGCAGUGGGGAGUAUUGCACAAUGGGGGAAACCCUGAUGCAGCGACGCCGCGUGGGCGAGGAAGUACCUCGGUAUGUAAAGCCCUAUCAGCAGGGAAGAAACAGGACAGUACCUGACUAAGAAGCCCCGGCUAACUACGUGCCAGCAGCCGCGGUAAUACGUAGGGGGCAAGCGUUAUCCGGAUUUACUGGGUGUAAAGGGAGCGUAGACGGCGAUGCAAGUCUGAAGUGAAAGGCGGGGGCCCAACCCCCGGACUGCUUUGGAAACUGUAUGGCUGAAGUGCAGGAGAG